AAGCUCAAUAUACAACUCAAUAAAAAAUGAACUUAGUUUUUACCAACACAAAACAACUUCAUUCACCCCAAUAGAACUAGAAACUUAAACACUCCCUAUUCAGCACAAGGAGUCACUCCCCCACGUUCCAAAAACUUUUAAAUUACCUAACUACACUAAAACACCCAAAUCCCCCCAAACCAUAUUCCAUACAAUAAGCCACCCAUAUCCCUCAUUGCAAUAUAAACCCCAACCCCACUAUCACACACAAAGCUCAAACAUUCGUAGAUAAAUGACAUUUCAAGCAUAUAACAAAACCAAUAGAACAUAACAAAAACAAAGCCUAUAUGCCAUUAACUAACCUUAUAAUCCA
rnacentral:lncRNA from 1 species